rfam:Loxodonta africana unplaced genomic scaffold scaffold_1, whole genome shotgun sequence.
GCAGGGGUAGUUCAGUGGAAGAAUUCCUACCUUCCAUGUGGGAGACUCAGGUUUGAUUCCUGGCCAGUGUA